rnacentral:rRNA from 1 species
UGCAGUCGAACGAUGAAGCCNGCUUGCUGGUGGAUUAGUGGCGAACGGGUGAGUAACACGUGGGUGAUCUGCCCUGUACUUUGGGAUAAGCCUGGGAAACUGGGUCUAAUACCGAAUAUGACCACAGAAUGCAUGUUUUGUGGUGGAAAGCUCCGGCGGUAUGGGAUGGGCCCGCGGCCUAUCNNNUUGUUGGUGGGGUAAUGGCCUACCAAGGCGACGACGGGUAGCCGGCCUGAGAGGGCNANNNGNNNNNNNNNNNNNNNNNACACGGCCCAGACUCCUACGGGAGGCAGCAGUGGGGAAUAUUGCACAAUGGGCGCAAGCCUGAUGCAGCGACGCCGCGUGAGGGAUGACGGCCUUCGGGUUGUAAACCUCUUUCACCAGGGACGAAGCGAGAGUGACGGUACCUGGAGAAGAAGCACCGGCCAACUACGUGCNCAGCAGCNCGCGGUAAUACGUAGGGUGCGAGCGUUGUCCGGAAUUACUGGGCGUAAAGAGCUCGUAGGCGGUUUGUCGCGUCGUUCGUGAAAACUUGGGGCUUAACUCCAAGCGUGCGGGCGAUACGGGCAGACUUGAGUACUACAGGGGAGACUGGAAUUCCUGGUGUAGCGGUGAAAUGCGCAGAUAUCAGGAGGAACACCGGUGGCGAAGGCGGGUCUCUGGGUAGUAACUGACGCUGAGGAGCGAAAGCGUGGGUAGCGAACAGGAUUAGAUACCCUGGUAGUCCACGCCGUAAACGGUGGGUACUAGGUGUGGGUUCCUUUUCACGGGAUCCGUGCCGUAGCUAACGCAUUAAGUACCCCGCCUGGGGAGUACGGCCGCAAGGCUAAAACUCAAAGGAAUUGACGGGGGCCNCGCACAAGCGGCGGAGCAUGUGGAUUAAUUCGAUGCAACGCGAAGAACCUUACCUGGGUUUGACAUACACUAGAAAGCCAUAGAGAUAUGGCCCCCCUUGUGGUUGGUGUACAGNGUGGUGCAUGGCUGUCGUCAGCUCGUGUCGUGAGAUGUUGGGUUAAGUCCCGCAACGAGCGCAACCCUUGUCCUGUGUUGCCAGCACGUAAUGGUGGGGACUCGCAGGAGACUGCCGGGGUCAACUCGGAGGAAGGUGGGGAUGACGUCNNNNNNNNNNNNNNCNNNANNNCCAGGGCUUCACACAUGCUACAAUGGCCGGUACAGAGGGCUGCGAUACCGUGAGGUGGAGCGAAUCCCUUAAAGCCGGUCUCAGUUCGGAUCGGGGUCUGCAACUCGACCCCGUGAAGUCGGAGUCGCUAGUAAUCGCAGAUCAGCAACGCUGCGGUGAAUACGUUCCCGGGCCUUGUACACACCGCCCGUCACGUCAUGAAAGUUGGUAACACCCGAAGCCGGUGGCCCAACCCCNNGNNGGAGGGAGCC